AAAGCUGCGUGUAUAUCUAAGGUGCCCGUACCGCAAACCGACACAGGUAGGUAGGAAGAAGAUUCUAAGGCCAACGGGAGAAGGGUUGUUAAGGAACUCGGCAAGUUGACCCCGUAACUUCGGAAUAAGGGGUGCUCAUGAAAGUGAGCCGCAGAGAAUAGGCCCAGGCAACUGUUUACCAAAAACACAGGUUUGUGCUAAAUCGAAAGAUGACGUAUACGAGCUGACGCCUGCCCGGUGCUGGAAGGUUAAAAGGAGAUGUGCAAGCAUUGAAUUGAAGCCCCAGUGAACGGCCCCGUAACUAUAACGGUCCUAAGGUAGCGAAAUUCCUUGUCAGGUAAGUUCUGACCCGCAUGAAAGGCGUAAUGAUCUGGGCACUGUCUCAACAGCCCGCCCGGCGAAAUUGUAGUAUCGGUGAAGAUGCCGGUUACCCGCGACAAGACGGAAAGACCCCAUGGAGCUUUACUGUAGCCUAAUAUUGGGUUUCGGUGUUGCAUGCACAGGAUAGAUGGGACGCUAGGAAGUGAGUGCUUUGGCAUUCAUGGAGCGGCCGUUGGGAUACCAUCCUUGCGACAUUGGAAUUCUAACCUGCGCCUUUGAAUCAAGGCGGGGGACAUUGUUAGGUGGGCAGUUUGACUGGGGCGGUCGCCUCCUAAAGAGUAGCGGAGGCGUUCAAAGGUUGGCUCGUCCUGGACGGAAACCAGGAGAGAGAGUGCAAACGCAAAAGCCAGCCUGACUGCGAGACUGACGGGUCGAGCAGAGACGAAAGUCGGAGUUAGUGAUCCGGUGGUAUGUGAGUGGAAAUGCCAUCGCUCAACGGAUAAAAGUUACCCUGGGAUAACAGGCUGAUCUCCCCCAAGAGUCCACAUCGACGGGGAGGUUUGGCACCUCGAUGUCGGCUCAUCGCAUCCUGGGGCUGUAUUCGGUCCCAAGGGUUUGGCUGUUCGCCAAUUAAAGCGGUACGCGAGCUGGGUUCGGAACGUCGUGAGACAGUUCGGUCCCUAUCUGUCGUGGGCGCAGGAUAUUUGAAAGGCGCUGUCCCUAGUACGAGAGGACCGGGAUGGACGAACCUCUGGUGCACCAGUUGUCACGCCAGUGGCACAGCUGGGCAGCUAUGUUCGGAUCGGAUAAACGCUGAAAGCAUCUAAGCGUGAAGCCGGCCUUAAGAUAAGAUAUCCCACUGAGAUAAUCAGGUAAGACCCCUUGAAGACUACAAGGUUGAUAGGCACAAUGUGUAAGUGGCGUGAGUCAUUGAGCAAGCGUGUACUAAUAGGUCGAGGGCUUGACC
rnacentral:rRNA from 1 species